rnacentral:other from 1 species
CGGGUGCUGCCGGAUGCGUCAGGAACGCUAUUGCUCGGGGCCUUACGUUUCUCUAGGGAACUGUCCCUGGGGCGGGCCGUGGCCUGCUUCACACGGUGCCCACCUACUCUUGUAGGUCUCCGAGAAUCACUGUUCCAACGAUCCGGUGGGCCCACU